ACGGGUGCGUAACGCGUGGGAAUCUGCCCUUAGGUUCGGAAUAACAGCUGGAAACGGCUGCUAAUACCGGAUGAUAUCGCGAGAUCAAAGAUUUAUCGCCUGAGGAUGAGCCCGCGUUGGAUUAGGUAGUUGGUGGGGUAAAGGCCUACCAAGCCGACGAUCCAUAGCUGGUCUGAGAGGAUGAUCAGCCACACUGGGACUGAGACACGGCCCAGACUCCUACGGGAGGCAGCAGUGGGGAAUAUUGGACAAUGGGCGCAAGCCUGAUCCAGCAAUGCCGCGUGAGUGAUGAAGGCCCUAGGGUUGUAAAGCUCUUUUACCCGGGAAGAUAAUGACUGUACCGGGAGAAUAAGCCCCGGCUAACUCCGUGCCAGCAGCCGCGGUAAUACGGAGGGGGCUAGCGUUGUUCGGAAUUACUGGGCGUAAAGCGCACGUAGGCGGCUUUGUAAGUCAGAGGUGAAAGCCUGGAGCUCAACUCCAGAACUGCCUUUGAGACUGCAUCGCUUGAAUCCAGGAGAGGUCAGUGGAAUUCCGAGUGUAGAGGUGAAAUUCGUAGA
rnacentral:rRNA from 2 species